UUUUUUUUUUUUUAAACGCUCUUCUAUAAAACAGAAUGGUAAUUUGAAUACAAACCAUGGGGGGAUUUAGUUUAUGUUUAUAAUAUUAGGUCGAUAACUUCUGCUGGAUUGGUUUUUGUUCGUGAAUCUUUGUUAUUUGUUUUUCUAUGUGCAAUUUCGAGUUAUGAAUUAACAACGGCUGCUUCCAUCGUCUAACAUUGAUUUUGUUUGUGUGUGUAUGCAUGUGUGUGUUGAGUUUAUUGUCAAUGCUGAAACCAACAACGCCGCACAUCUCUCAACACCAAAAGGCUUGAUGAUGACACCAAGAACCUUACUCAUGAACGUGUGUCCAUUGAGCUAAAGAAAGCCAUUUUCCAUGCCCCAACAUAUAAGCUGAUGAUGAUCGGAUCCAUCCCUACAAUGCUAUGGCCUAUAUAUGCUCUCAGUUUGGUGGCUUCAGUUUUGGUGUAGAGGUUCUUGAGCAAUUACGUCACCAGUACGGUUCCGGCUAUCUUCUAGGAGGUUUGUAGGUAUACACUUUUCUUUUACCUCUUUUUCAAAUUAAGAAUUAGAUUUUGAUUUUUAAAACUAAAUUUAUAUAGUUUUUCAACUAUUUUCUAAGAAACCGUUUUUAAAUAAUUUUUUUUUUCAAAUUUAAGUGAUUAAUUUAUAAAUACGUUGAAAACAAACCGGAUCUCGCAUCCUGUCCCUUCCAAGGGUCCGUAAGCUUUGGUGUUGUAGGUUCAACAUGUUUAUACGUAUUUUAAAAUUAAUCAAUUAAAAUUUUAAUUUUAAUUUUUAGUAAAUUGUUUUAAGAGAGAUUUUCUUUAAUAUAUAAUAUUUUCAAACUUAAGUGUAAAAUUUAAAUAUGUUGAAACAAUCUGGACUUCACAUCCCGUCCUAUCUUACGGGUCCGUAAGUUUUGGUGUGAUAAAUUCAACAUGUUUAUAUGUAUUUUAAAUUUAUCACUUAAGAUUUUUCAAUUAAUCUUUUUGAAAAGAGAUUUUCAUUAUAUUUUCAAAUUUAAGCGUAAAAUUUAAAAAUAAACCGGACUUUUAGCAUUUACAAUUUAAAUAUGUUUCCUAGUAACUAUAAAUGUUGUUAAAUAUUAAUAUGUUGAAAACUAAUUGUAUUUAUAGCAUUUCAUA